rnacentral:rRNA from 1 species
ACGCCUUAUACAUGCAAGUCGAACGAAGUAGCAAUACUUAGUGGCAGACGGGUGAGUAACAUGUAGGUAUCUUCCCUUUGGUGAGGAAUAACACGAGGAAACUUGUGCUAAUACCUCAUAAGUCUUUACGGAGAAAGCUUUAUGCGCCGAAGGAUGAGCCUGCACUUGAUUAGUUUGUUGGUAGGGUAAUGGCCUACCAAGACUUUGAUCAAUAGCUGAUCUGAGAGGAUGAUCAGCCACAUUGGGACUGAGACACGGCCCAAACUCCUACGGGAGGCAGCAGUAGGGAAUAUUGCACAAUGGAGGAAACUCUGAUGCAGCGAUGCCGCGUGAGUGAAGAAGGCCCUUGGGUUGUAAAGCUCUUUCGUCGGGGAAGAAAAUGACUGUACCCGAAUAAGAAGGUCCGGCUAACUUCGUGCCAGCAGCCGCGGUAAUACGAAGGGACCUAGCGUAGUUCGGAAUUACUGGGCUUAAAGAGUUCGUAGGUGGUUAAAAAAGUUGGUGGUGAAAUCCCAGAGCUUAACUCUGGAACUGCCAUCAAAACUUUUUAGCUAGAGUAUGAUAGAGGAAAGCAGAAUUUCUAGUGUAGAGGUGAAAUUCGUAGAUAUUAGAAAGAAUACCGAUUGCGAAGGCAGCUUUCUGGAUCAUUACUGACGCUGAGGAACGAAAGCAUGGGUAGCGAAGAGGAUUAGAUACCCUCGUAGUCCAUGCCGUAAACGAUGUGUGUUAGACGUUGGAAAUUUAUUUUCAGUGUCGCAGCGAAAGCAUUAAACACACCGCCUGGGGAGUACG